rnacentral:lncRNA from 1 species
AUUUAAUGCUUCAUGAAGAAUAUUUUUCCAUCAUACACCUUAAAUGUGAUUCCCUUAGAUGCUAACUAUCAAGACAGAUAGUUCAAAUAUCAAUUUCAACAUUCCUUAAUUAUUAUGAUAGACAUUGUAACUUGUGGAAAUUACACCUCAUCCUAUAUUUGAAUGUUAAUAUUCUAAGAUAAGGUAGGAGGUUUCACUUUUCAAAAAUUAGAUAUUUUACUUUAAUUAAUAUUUUUACUAAAUAUAUAAUACACACAUCACAAACCUUAAUUCUCUCUAUUUACAUUUCCACAUUCUCUUUCCCUACACCACCCAUCAGCUUCCUCUAUUCUUUCUCUCUACACCACCCAUUGGCUUUCUCUACACAGAAUUGCUACACGACGCAGCAACCACUGUCCAAAUCGUUCACAUGAUCGUUGCACGGCACAGCAGUGGUGCGAAAUAAUUGCAUAGCGAUGAUGCCAAAGCAGUGAUGCAAUGACGAUGUCGUGAAAAUGGUGGCAGUGUGGCUUAGCAACCACCAUCCAAAACGAGCAACCCAAUCGCUACAUGGCGUAGCAGUGGUGAUGGCAUCACCAGCAGAUCGCCGUUGUUAGAAAUAACGGCAUAGUGACGAUGCCGGAGCAGUGGUGCAGCGACGAAGCGAUGAAAAUGGAGGAAAAUAGUUGUUUAUUACUUGUUGUUUCAUAGAUGAGAUCGUGGUGGUUGUUGUUGGCUUCCGUACUUGUGGUUUUUGAGGCCGUGGCGGUUUGUUACUAAUAGGUCUUUGAAGUAGUGGUUGAGGGGUGCUAGCGGUUUUGAUUUGAUUAGUUGUUUGUGUUUUGGUGGUAGAUCCGGUGACUGCGGUGUGGCGAUGAGUUGCAAUGCGGUGGUGGUAUAGGUGGUUAAUGCGGUGAGGCAUCGGUGUUGGUGGUUGGAAUGGUGGUGAUAGUAGCUUUCGUAUUUCUACGGUGGUGGGACAGUCGGCGAUGGUGGUCGUGGCAAUGGUUGCGAUGGCGAUGGUGAGAUGUUGGUGGCGAUAGGUCUGUUGGGGUGGUAGUGGAUUUGACGUGAUGACGUUGUGGUAUUUUUCUACGAUGUGUUGAUUUGUUUAAGGUGUUGGUGUUAGUGUUGCUGUCUGGAAGUGGUGAUAGUAGUUCUGGCGACAACGAUAGUGAAGGUGUUGAUUUUAUGUUAGUCUUGUUGAAAGCGAUAAUCCAACGAUCCAAACAAUGAGGGAUACCGAUUUCCUAGAUCUUUUGUUUGUUGAUGAAAGAUUUAACCUUAGUUUUGUUGUACACUUACAUUAGUUGUUGGUCAUUUGUAGUUAUAAUAAAUUAAUGUGUAUGAAUCACCCAGCUCAUUGG